CAGGUGGUCAGGUAGAGAAUACCAAGGCGCUUGAGAGAACUCGGGUGAAGGAACUAGGCAAAAUGGUGCCGUAACUUCGGGAGAAGGCACGCUGACACGUAGGUGAAGUGAUUUACUCAUGGAGCUGAAGUCAGUCGAAGAUACCAGCUGGCUGCAACUGUUUAUUAAAAACACAGCACUGUGCAAACACGAAAGUGGACGUAUACGGUGUGACGCCUGCCCGGUGCCGGAAGGUUAAUUGAUGGGGUCAGCGCAAGCGAAGCUCCUGAUCGAAGCCCCGGUAAACGGCGGCCGUAACUAUAACGGUCCUAAGGUAGCGAAAUUCCUUGUCGGGUAAGUUCCGACCUGCACGAAUGGCGUAAUGAUGGCCAGGCUGUCUCCACCCGAGACUCAGUGAAAUUGAACUCGCUGUGAAGAUGCAGUGUACCCGCGGCAAGACGGAAAGACCCCGUGAACCUUUACUAUAGCUUGACACUGAACAUUGAGCCUUGAUGUGUAGGAUAGGUGGGAGGCUUUGAAGUGUGGACGCCAGUCUGCAUGGAGCCGACCUUGAAAUACCACCCUUUAAUGUUUGAUGUUCUAACGUGGACCCGUUACCCGGGUUGCGGACAGUGUCUGGUGGGUAGUUUGACUGGGGCGGUCUCCUCCUAAAGAGUAACGGAGGAGCACGAAGGUUGGCUAAUCCUGGUCGGACAUCAGGAGGUUAGUGCAAUGGCAUAAGCCAGCUUGACUGCGAGCGUGACGGCGCGAGCAGGUGCGAAAGCAGGUCAUAGUGAUCCGGUGGUUCUGAAUGGAAGGGCCAUCGCUCAACGGAUAAAAGGUACUCCGGGGAUAACAGGCUGAUACCGCCCAAGAGUUCAUAUCGACGGCGGUGUUUGGCACCUCGAUGUCGGCUCAUCACAUCCUGGGGCUGAAGUAGGUCCCAAGGGUAUGGCUGUUCGCCAUUUAAAGUGGUACGCGAGCUGGGUUUAGAACGUCGUGAGACAGUUCGGUCCCUAUCUGCCGUGGGCGCUGGAGAACUGAGGGGGGCUGCUCCUAGUACGAGAGGACCGGAGUGGACGCAUCACUGGUGUUCGGGUUGUCAUGCCAAUGGCACUGCCCGGUAGCUAAAUGCGGAAGAGAUAAGUGCUGAAAGCAUCUAAGCACGAAACUUGCCCCGAGAUGAGUUCUCCCUGAGACUUUAGGUCUCCUGAAGGAACGUUGAAGACGACGACGUUGAUAGGCCGGGUGUGUAAGCGCAGCGAUGCGUUGAGCUAACCGGUACUAAUGAA
rnacentral:rRNA from 1 species